rnacentral:rRNA from 1 species
NNNNUAAUGAGGAUUCGGAAUAUCACACAUUGGUCAAUCAAAGAGAGAUUCAAUAACUAAAAGAAUGAUCGAUUCUUUGGGAUCCUUCCUUUCUUCAAAUGGAACGAACAGAGAUAGAAUCAGACCGAUUCCUGAAAUGCCUUUCUGGCUAUUCCUCAAUGUCUCGGUUAUUCACGGAACGUGAGAAAUAGAUGAUUAAUCAACUACAUAAUAUCAAUUAAAAUGGUUUACCGGGCUACAUAUUCGAAAUGAUUGGGCGUAAAGCGUUUGUAGGUGACUUUUUGAAUCCGCCUUCAAAUCCCAGGGCUCAACCCUGGACAGGCGGUAGAAACUACCAAGCUGAAGUAUGUUAGGGGUAGAGGGAAUUUUCAGUGGAGCGGUGAAAUGCAUAGAGAUUGGAAAGAACACCAACGGCGAAAGCACUUUACUGGGCUGACACUGACACUGAGAGACGAAAGUUAGGGGAGCAAAUGGGAUUAGAUACUCCACUAGUCCUAGUCGUAAACGAUGGAUCUAGGCACUAUGCGUAUCGACUCGUGCAAUACUGUAGCUAACGCGUUAAGUAUCCCGCCUGGGGAGUACGUUCRCAAGAAUGAAACUCAAAGGAAUUGAUGGGGGCCCGCACAAGCGGUGGAGCAUGGCUGUCGUCAACUCGUGCCAUAAGGUGUUGGGUUAAGUCCCACAACGAGCGCAACCGUCGUGUUUAGUUGCCAUCAUUGAGUUUGGAACCAUGAACAGAUUGCUGAUGAUAAGCCGGAGGAAGGUGAGGAUGAUGUUAAGUCAUCAUGCCCCUUAUGCCCUGGGCGACACACGUGCUACAAUUGCUGGGAUAAAGGGUCGUGAUCCUGCGAGGGUGAGCUACCCCAAAAACUCAUCGUCAGUUCGGAUUGUAGGCUGCAACUCGCCUGCAUGAUGCCAAAAUUACUAGUAAUUGCCGAUCAACCAUACGGCGGUGAAUCCGUUCCCAGGCCUUGUACACACCAUCCGUCACACUAUGGGAGCUGGCCAUGCCCAAAGUCAUUACCUUAACCACAAGGAGGGGUUUGCCGAAAGUAGGGCUAGUGACUGGAGUGAAGUCGUAACAAGGUAGCCAUAUUGGAAGGUGCGGCUG